AUUUUGGCUUAAUCGAAGACCAUAUUUAAUGAUUUAAAAAAUAUUCCACAUUUUUAUGGUUCAAAAGUAAGCCAAUAGCAAUUUUUGCAACACGGUCAUGGCUUUAUCCUAACCCCAUGAUAAGGUCAUAACAUUUAGUUCAAUUACAUUU
rfam:Musca domestica strain aabys unplaced genomic scaffold Scaffold239, whole genome shotgun sequence.